rnacentral:rRNA from 2 species
UACGUAGGGCGCAAGCGUUGUCCGGAAUUAUUGGGCGUAAAGAGCUCGUAGGCGGUCUGUCACGUCUGCCGUGAAAACCCGAGGCUUAACCUCGUGGCUUGCGGUGGAUACGGGCAGACUAGAGGUAGGUAGGGGAGAACGGAAUUCCCGGUGUAGCGGUGAAAUGCGCAGAUAUCGGGAGGAACACCGGUGGCGAAGGCGGUUCUCUGGGCCUUACCUGACGCUGAGGAGCGAAAGCAUGGGGAGCGAACAGG